GAGAAAGAGAGAGAAUUUGGGGAUAUGUAGGAUAUACUGAUUUUGUGGAUAUGUGAAAAGUGUUGCAAGUUGAAUAUUUACAAACCUAGGGGUGAGCCUAAAUCUAAUUAACUUACGAAUUUUAUUUACAAAAGGAUAUAAAUUUUCUGUACAAAAUUGUUUAGUCUAGCUUAGUCAAAUGAUUGAGAAUAUAUCCAAUUAUUAGAUUCUUCCAU
rnacentral:misc_RNA from 1 species